AUGUGCCUUUCCACGAUUCCUGGCUAUCAGGAGCUUGUCUCUACUACACACUACCACCAUGAAAUUUCAUGCUUCACCACAGAAGAAAAACCAAUGAAACCAAACAACCAUGGACUGAAACCUCUAAAAAACAUAAGCCAAAAUAAUGUUUACUCAGAGAAGUGGAUUGGGUAUUUUUUUAUCACUGUGACAGGAAGUUGACUAACAGAUCAGGCCAACAGAAAUGCUGAUGAAGGAGGGCUCCCCCGCUUCCUCUCUUCCCAGCAUGCCUGCCACCCACCAUAAGUUAGGAGUGGAUGACAAGACAAUGUUCCCGAAAGAUAGCAGGUCACCCUCUGCUCAGCCAGAGGGCAGGAAGAGCAUCCAGUCAACAUCCUCGGGUUUACAGGAGUGGCCUGACUGGUAAAGCCAAGAAAAGCUUUUUAAGUGGCGAAGAAAUGGUUUGGUGCCAGCUGUGGUCACAGACACACUUUCUGUAGCACCCUGCCCUGUCAUGCCCCAGAGCACUGCUGAAGCUUGACUCUCCCAGAAUUCCUCUGGGUCUGCAACUUUUUUAGCUUUGGAACCACUCAUGCCCGUGGUGGAACCUGCAAUGUCCAGUGACCUAUGUGAAAAAAAGAAAAGACAAACCAACAAAAGUUAUCCAGCUAGGAUCGCAGAGUAAAACAAGGAGGAAGUUGAAUGUCAAGACUCAUCCCCCAUGAACAAUCCAUGGUUGGAACUCACGCUGCCCAGCUAUGGUAUAAUAAAGUGGAAUGCACCCUCUAAGCCUUGGAAAAGCUAAAGGACACUGUGCAUUUGGAUUUGGACACACCAGCAAGGAGAAAAUGCUGUGGGCAGACUGAGCAAAGGCUGCUCCUGGAUGCACGCCCCGCUUCUGUGUUGGGAAGGAAGUGUGAGUGCCUGAGAAAGGGCUUUAUAAGUUUUUGAACUAAGCAGAAGAGGACAGGUCUCUUGGCUAAAAACGAACAAUAGCAAGGUUCAUUUUUUGCC
rnacentral:lncRNA from 1 species